CAGUCGAGCGCGGGAAGCUGACUGAAUCCUUCGGGAGGACGUGAGUGGAACGAGCGGCGGACGGGUGAGUAACACGUGGGCAACCUGCCUGUAAGACUGGGAUAACUCCGGGAAACCGGGGCUAAUACCGGAUAGUACUUUGGUUCAUAGGAACCGAAGUGGAAAGGUGGCGCAAGCUACCACUUACAGAUGGGCCCGCGGUGCAUUAGCUAGUUGGUGAGGUAACGGCUCACCAAGGCAACGAUGCAUAGCCGACCUGAGAGGGUGAUCGGCCACACUGGGACUGAGACACGGCCCAGACUCCUACGGGAGGCAGCAGUAGGGAAUCUUCCGCAAUGGACGAAAGUCUGACGGAGCAACGCCGCGUGAACGAAGAAGGUUUUCGGAUCGUAAAGUUCUGUUGUUAGGGAAGAACAAGUACCGUUCGAAUAGGGCGGUACCUUGACGGUACCUAUCGAGGAAGCCCCGGCUAACUACGUGCCAGCAGCCGCGGUAAUACGUAGGGGGCAAGCGUUGUCCGGAAUUAUUGGGCGUAAAGCGCGCGUAGGCGGUUUCUUAAGUCUGAUGUGAAAUCUUGCGGCUCAACCGCAAGCGGUCAUUGGAAACU
rnacentral:rRNA from 1 species